rnacentral:rRNA from 1 species
AACGAACGCUGGCGGCAGGCUUAACACAUGCAAGUCGAACGCCCCGCAAGGGGAGUGGCAGACGGGUGAGUAACGCGUGGGAACAUACCCUUUCCUGCGGAAUAGCUCCGGGUAACUGGAAUUAAUACCGCAUACGCCCUACGGGGGAAAGAUUUAUCGGGAAGGAUUGGCCCGCGUUGGAUUAGCUAGUUGGUGGGGUAAAGGCCUACCAAGGCGACGAUCCAUAGCUGGUCUGAGAGGAUGAUCAGCCACAUUGGGACUGAGACACGGCCCAAACUCCUACGGGAGGCAGCAGUGGGGAAUAUUGGACAAUGGGCGCAAGCCUGAUCCAGCCAUGCCGCGUGAGUGAUGAAGGCCUUAGGGUUGUAAAGCUCUUUCACCGAUGAAGAUAAUGACGGUAGUCGGAGAAGAAGCCCCCGGCUAACUUCGUGCCAGCAGCCGCGUAAUACGAAGGGGGCUACGUGUUCGGAAUUACUGGGCGUAAAGCGCACGUAGGCGGAUAUUUAAGUCAGGGGUGAAAUCCCGCAGCUCAACUGCGGAACUGCCUUUGAUACUGGGUANCUUGAGUAUGGAAAGGUAAGUGGAAUUCCGNGUGUAGAGGG